UUCAACGGAGAGUUUGAUCCUGGCUCAGGACGAACGCUGGCGGCGUGCUUAACACAUGCAAGUCGAGCGGUAAGGCCUUUCGGGGUACACGAGCGGCGAACGGGUGAGUAACACGUGGGUGAUCUGCCCUGCACUUCGGGAUAAGCCUGGGAAACUGGGUCUAAUACCGGAUAUGACCUCCUAUCGCAUGGUGGGUGGUGGAAAGAUUUAUCGGUGCAGGAUGGGCCCGCGGCCUAUCAGCUUGUUGGUGGGGUAAUGGCCUACCAAGGCGACGACGGGUAGCCGACCUGAGAGGGUGACCGGCCACACUGGGAC
rnacentral:rRNA from 1 species